rfam:Bacteroidetes bacterium HLTCCA01 ITZX_scaf_20, whole genome shotgun sequence.
GCGAGAGUGGUGAAAUUGGUAGACACGCUAGAUUUAGGAUCUAGUGCCUUAACCGGUGUAGGGGUUCGAGUCCCCUCUCUCGCA